rnacentral:misc_RNA from 1 species
UACGGAGGGUGCAAGCGUUAAUCGGAAUUACUGGGCGUAAAGGGUGUGUAGGCGGAAGAUUAAGUGAGAUGUGAAAGACCUGGGCUCAACCGAGGAAUAGCAUCUGAUACUGAUUUUCUAGAGUGCAGUAGAGGGAAGUGGAAUUUCCGGUGUAGCGGUGAAAUGCGUAGAUAUCGGAAGGAACACCAGUGGCGAAGGCGACUUUCUGGACUGACACUGACGCUGAGGCACGAAAGCGUGGGGAGCAAACAGG